rnacentral:rRNA from 1 species
CCUACGGGAGGCUGCAGUAGGGAAUCUUCGUCAAUGGGCGCAAGCCUGAACGAGCGAUGCCGCGUGAGUUAAGAAGGCCUUCGGGUCGUAAAGCUCUGUUGCGGGGGAAAAAAGGCAGCAUCAGGACAUGGGUGCUGACUGAUGGUGCCCCGACAGAAAGUCGCGGCUAACUACGUGCCAGCAGCCGCGGUCAUGCGUAGGUGGCGAGCGUUAUCCGGAAGGAUUGGGCGUAAAGGGUGCUCAGGCGGUCCUGCAAGUCUGGAGUGAAACGCAUGAGCUCAACUCAUGCAUGGCUUUGGAAACUGGAGGACUGGAGAGCAGGAGAGGGCGGUGGAACUCCAUGUGUAGCGGUAAAAUGCGUAGAUAUAUGGAAGAACACCAGUGGCGAAGGCGGCCGCCUGGCCUGUUGCUGACGCUGAGGCACGAAAGCGUGGGGAGCAAAUAGGAUUAGAUACCCCAGUAGUC